UACAGAGGUCCCAAGCGUUGUUCGGAUUCACUGGGCGUAAAGGGUGCGUAGGCGGUCGGGUAAGUCUGAUGUGAAAUCUCACAGCUUAACUGUGAAACUGCAUUGGAUACUAUUCGGCUUGAGAGUUGGAGGGGGGGACUGGAAAUUCUUGGUGUAGCAGUGAAAUGCGUAGAUAUCAAAGAGGAACACCAGUGGCGAAGGCGAGUCCCUGGACAACUUCUGACGCUGAGGCACGAAAGCUAGGGGGAGCAAACAGG
rnacentral:rRNA from 1 species